CAAGAGGAGAAUAACGUCGAACGGUGAUUAAUCAUAGUUCUGUCAGACUUUAUUCUCUUCUCU
rnacentral:pre_miRNA from 1 species